GUAGGGAAUCUUGCGCAAUGGGCGAAAGCCUGACGCAGCCAUGCCGCGUGAAUGAUGAAGGUCUUAGGAUUGUAAAAUUCUUUCACCGGGGACGAUAAUGACGGUACCCGGAGAAGAAGCCCCGGCUAACUUCGUGCCAGCAGCCGCGGUAAUACGAAGGGGGCUAGCGUUGCUCGGAAUUACUGGGCGUAAAGGGAGCGUAGGCGGAUAGUUUAGUCAGAGGUGAAGGCCCAGGGCUCAACCUUGGAAUUGCCUUUGAUACUGGCUAUCUUGAGUAUGGAAGAGGUAUGUGGAACUCCGAGUGUAGAGGUGAAAUUCGUAGAUAUUCGGAAGAACACCAGUGGCGAAGGCGACAUACUGGUCCAUUACUGACGCUGAGGCUCGAAAGCGUGGGGAGCAAACAGGAUUAGAAACCCGUGUAGUCC
rnacentral:rRNA from 1 species